rnacentral:rRNA from 1 species
AACGAACGCUGGCGGCAUGCCUAACACAUGCGAGUCGAACGAGACCUUCGGGUCUAGUGGCGCACGGGUGCGUAACGCGUGGAAACCUGCCCUUAGGUUCGGAAUAACUCCCCGAAAGGGGUGCUAAUACCGGAUAAUGUCUUCGGACCAAAGAUUUAUCGCCUUUGGAUGGGCCCGCGUUGGAUUAGCUAGUUGGUAGGGUAAAAGCCUACCAAGGCGACGAUCCAUAGCUGGUCUGAGAGGAUGAUCAGCCACACUGGGACUGAGACACGGCCCAGACUCCUACGGGAGGCAGCAGUGGGGAAUAUUGGACAAUGGGCGAAAGCCUGAUCCAGCAAUGCCGCGUGAGUGAUGAAGGCCUUAGGGUUGUAAAGCUCUUUUACCCGGGAUGAUAAUGACAGUACCGGGAGAAUAAGCUCCGGCUAACUCCGUG